rnacentral:rRNA from 1 species
AUGGAGCUUUAGACACCAAGGCCGCUCAUGUUAAACACCCUUAAUAAAGGAGCAAACCAAAUGAGACCUGCCCUAAUGUCUUUGGUUGGGGCGACCGCGGGGAAUUAAAAAACCCCCACGUGGAACGGGGGCACCCCUCCUACAACUAAGAGCUACAGCUCUAGUAAACAGAACUUCUGACCAGCAAGAUCCGGCAAAGCCGAUCAACGGACCG